CUCACAAGGUUUGUAUGACCAGUCCAUCGCAGACACACACACACACACACACUUAAAAACAUCUGCCGUUCACUCAGCCGAAUUAUCAGAGGUUUCCAGGGAGACGAACACAAACAGUGGAGAUGUAUGUUGCGGCCCCACCUCGUGCCCUAAGAGAGCAAUCAACCUGGAGAAAGACAAGCAGACACACCCAUCGAGAACGGAGAAUGGCUAAAAACUGGCUUAAGAAAUGGAAGCUUUAGCGAUGCUGACGCUUCCAUUGACCUCCAUCCUCCCCUACACCUCCAGGAUGGUCCCUUCCUUUCCAACCUCCCCACCACCACCAGGAUGGUCCCUUCCUAUACCUCCUAGGGGGUCGGCUGCGCCCCUGCCUUCGUCUUUAGGCAGGAAAUGCAGAGUCCGGACCCUCGGAUUGAGAGCUAUGGACGGG